rnacentral:lncRNA from 1 species
CCCUAGCCCACAAGUUAAUAUUUAUUACUAACUUUUUAUUGUAUAUGACAGCAGAAUGCAUUACAAUUCAUAUUACAAAUACAUAAUAUAGAGCACAAUUUUUUCAUAUCUCUGGUUGUAUACAAAGUAUGUUGACACCAAUUCAUGUCUUCAUACACGUACUUUGGAUAAUGAUGUCCAUCACAUUCCACCAUCAUUUCUAACCCCCUGCCCCCUUCCUUCCCCUCCAGUUCAUCUGUCCCUAUCUAGAGUUCAUCUAUUCCUCCCAUGCUCCCCCUCCCUAUCCUACUAUGAGUCAGCCUCCUUUAUAUCAGAGAAAACAUUCAGCAUUCAGUUUUUUGGUAUUGGCUAAUGGUAGCUAUUAUGAAUACAAACAACAAUAAGUGUUGGCAAGGAUGUGGGGGAAAAGGCACACUCAUACAUUGCUGGUGGGACUGCAAAUUGGUGCAGCCAAUAUGGAAAGCAGUGUGGAGAUUCCUUGGAAAACUGGGAAUGGAACCACCAUUUGACCCAGCUAUCCUUCUCCUCGGUCUAUACCCAAAGGACUUAAAAACAGCACACUACAGGGACACAGCCACAUCAAUGUUUAUAGCAGCACAAUUCACAAUAGCUAAACUGUGGGGCCAACCUCAAGGCCCUUUAGUACAUGAAUGGAUAAAAAAAAAUGUGGCAUAUAUACACAAUGGAAUAUUACUCAGCCUUAUAAGAGAAUAAAAUCAUGGCAUUUGCAGGUAAAUGGAUGGAGUUAGAGAAGAUAAUGCUAAGUGAAGUUAGCCAAUCCAAGGUUUGUAUUUUUCAGAUCUCAAAUCCUCAGAGUGUUUGCCCCAGGCAUCCAAAACUGUGAGCCAAAUAAAACUCUUUUCUUUAUAAGGUUAGCCUGCCUCAGGCAUUUCAUUUUAGCCACUAAAAAUGGAUGAAUAAGAUCUUUUCCCCCUAGAAACUUAAUACUUUCCCCUCCUUGAACUAAUGGCUGAGAACCAACUUAUUCACAGCAAUGUUCAUUUUUGUGCAUACCCUAGAGGAAUCUUUCUUUUUCCACAUUUUUUAUUGGUGUAUUGUAGAUGUUCAGGAUGAUGAGAUUUGUUGUUACAUAUUCACAUACACACAUGAUGUAACAAUAUAAUUUGGCCAGUAUCACUUACCCCCUCCCUCCAUACCCUGGUUUCUUUCUAGAGGAACCUUUUGUUCCUUCCUGUCCUGCUGUUUAUUUCCACAGAUCCUGGGAAGUCUCAGGAGACAGACGAGCUUACUGCACAGUGGAGAGGGAGAUCAAGAGCCAGGCUCAAGCGGGAUCUAGACCUGGACGCCAGCAUCUCCUCCCACCAUCUGUCCAAGCCUGGACAGUUGCUUCUGUUCUCUGUGCCUCAGUUUCCUUACCUGAAAAAUGGUAAUAAAAGUGCCCAAGCCCGCAGGAUUGUUGUAAGGGUUAGAUGAGGUGAUACAGGAAGUAUUUAAAAGUGCACCUUCCAGGUAGUAAGUACUGAACCAGUGUUACUUAUUAAUGAUGAUCACAUGACUAACAGACACCAGUGGUAACAGCUCCGUUCAGAAGCACCAGUCUCUUCCUUCUGGCUUGAUCCACACGGCACCUCUCCAAGGGGGGCUUGAACCUGAUGUGAAGUCCAAGGCCUGGACCCGACUGCAAGUUGCUUGGCAGAAACCCCUCCAAAUGCUGAAGUCGUCCCAGGAGAGGGGGCGGGGUUUUCUACUUCAAGGUCCUUCAAGCAGCUUCCAGGACGGUCCGCUCGGAAACCCCAAGGUCCUGGCAGUCAAUUCUCAAUGCACCCGCCUGCUCCCCGUGUGACUGACUGACUCAAAACCCAGGGACCCAGUGGUUCCCCUGAGCGCUCAGGGGGAAGGAAGCCAACCCCUGGUUCAGGUUGCCCCCGCCCCAGAGCAUGGGUGUUUUCUUCUGCCGCCCCACGGGCACCCUGCGGACACCCCUGCGAGUGCAGGAGGUGAGCAGGACCGGGGCGUGUCGCUGCAGCUCCCAAGCGUCUUCCGGUGGCCAAGAUUUGCCUUGGCACCUUAUGGCCCCUUUUCAGCCCGAGUUCAGGGCAAUUCGAGGGAGGUCUGAGGCCAGGCCUUGGGACCCUCCUGCGAGCUCCCUGCACGCUGAUCCCUGGGGUCCCUCGGGCACGGAAGGAGCCCCGCCCGGAUCUACGUGCCCUUCCCUACAUGGCAGUCCGGGCAGUGCCACCCGGUGGUUUUGAGUUAGAACAGGACCGAGCAGCUUACGUGCCUCUCUGCCAGCAGCUGAAAUGCGGUCACUUCUGCCUUUGUAAGUUUUGGUUCUUUGGUUCCAGCAAAAAAUGAACCCUUAGCCCUGGUGCCCAAUACCUGUGCUCUCGGGUUGCAGCUGAGCUGUGCACUUUGUCCCCUGUUCCCACAUGGUGCGCGUGUGGCCCUGACUGGCUCUGGACCGUGCUUCUUCUGCCUCUGCCUUAAAGCACACGUCCUGCGAGGUCCUGCGAGGUCCCUUAGUUGUCAUUCCUAGAGAUGAGGAGUCAUGGUUUUCUCUUGUUCACAUCUUUAAAUUACACAAGUGCCACGCAUUCAUAUUAAACAUCCAAACAUGGAGGAGACGUGAGGAACAGAACUUGAACAUCCGGUUUCACGCCCUCCCCCACACUGGGUGGGCUAUCCCAAGAAUGGGUGGGCUAGCCUAAGAAUGGGUUCCAGACACUUCUAUAUCCACUUACCUUCAAACGGUUUUCAAACAUUGUAAAAAGAGCAAUUUCAUUGUUUUGACACGAAGUAGGAGUCUGUUCCCACCAGUACUUUAUUCUUUUUAAUCAUGCAGUGUGUCCUGUAGUACAAUUUUCGUGACCAAUUUUCUCUUUGUAAACCUUUCAGUUUCUUUCUUUCUUUCUUUUUCUCUUACAAACAGGUCUGACAUGAACAUCCUUGAACUUUAUGUGCAUCUUCAAGAAUUUCUGUGGUGUAGAUUCCCAGAACUGAAAUCACUCUGUCUACAGAUUUGCAAAAUCUUUGAUAGACACCAGCGAAUAUUUGAUCUGUUAUCCCUACCACAGAUAGAUAUAUUUUUUUCUUUCUGUUGUUGAGUUUGUGCUGUUUGUUGUCUCUCUCCAUACAACUGUGUGAGUUUACCUUGACAAAUGUACCAGUGUGUUCCGUUUUGUCCUGCAAGUCUUUCCUUGCUUGGAUAAGUGUCCCUCCCCUAGAAUUAUGAAAACACCGUCCUCUCCCCACUCCAUAAUUUCACAGGUUCCUCGAGUAUUCGCAGCUGCUCGGUGAGUGAUCCACCCCUGGGUCAAGGCCAGAACUUUCCAAGUACACUACUACAGGUUUCUGAUACGCUUUUGCAUCUGGUAGGACGAACUUUCCCUCUUUCUCAAAAUAUUCUCAGCUACUCUUUUCUUCCUCUUCUUCUUCUUUCUUCUUUCUUCUUUUUUUAAGCUGGGGGUUGCACCCAGGGGCACUUUACCACUGAGCUACAUCCCCAGCCAUUUUUAAUUUUCUUUUAUUUUGAAGGAGGGUCUCACUAAGUUGUUUAAGGUCUCACUAAGUUGCUGAGGCUGCCCUUGAACUUGUGAUCCUCCUGCCUCAGUCUCCCGUGCUGCUGGGAUGACAGAUGUGCGUCCGCUGCUCCAACCAGCUGUGCUGGAGUAAUAAAAUCCUCAGAAAGGGACAGUAUAAUACUCAUCUUUGUCCCCGCGCCCCCAGCACCAGUCCCAAACAUACUUGAUAACCAUUUAUUCAACACAUAGACAAAAGCAAGAAGCUCUCGGUACAGACUCAGACUUCGCUGUUCCUCGUAACAGCUGUAGGAUCUUGAGCAAGGGCUUCACUUCUGCGACAGCUGGCUUUCUCGUUGGGAACACACCCACAGUCACGCCAGCCCGCCUAGCUACGGUUCACUCCAGCACCAGACGACGCAGUCCGUGCGCUGGGGCAGCAGAGUUUGGGGGAAAUGUACCAGAGUGAAGCCCAUGCCUAAUGGGAUGAAGAGGAGCACCUGGAAAUAGGAACAAAAGCCAGCAAAGAAAUUACAGCGUCCUCCCCACUGUCUGCCUACAUUCCCAACCACCCACAGGAGGCGAGAGACCUCCUGUUCACAGGACACCUGGAAGUCUCUGGAAGCAGCCCUGGAGCCCUGGAAAAAGUACAUCUUCCCCUGCCUCCCCCCCCCCAAAAAAAAACCCAACAAAAACAAACAAAUAAAUGAAACCUCAAUAGGUAAACCUCUGCUUAGACCAUCUGACAUCCCCAAAGAGGGUGCCCAGCCCAAACCCAGAACAGGCUCCCCCCACCCCCAGGUCCUCCGGGUGCCUCCUGGCUACCAGAACUUGGCCAGAAGACAGUGUUUCUAGAAGGCUCACCAUGUGCCAGACUCUGUUCUGAGCACUUGUGCGUUAGCUCACUCCAUCUUCAAGAAAACCUUGGGAAGCAGGUGUCGUUGACAUCGGAUUUUUUGGCUGAGGACUUGGAGGUACAGAGAGCUAAGGUGACUCACCUGAGGUCACAUAGCGAGUGAGAGAUGGAACCUGAAUAGAGCCCAGGCCAAUUUGCUCCAGUGUCUGUGCCAAAUCACACUGUGUUACUAUGCAAGAUCACGAAUCCAUGACGUUCUUUCUGUUGGUUGAGCGCACACACACACACACACACACACCCCACAGUGGGUCCUCCAUAUCCAGGGGUUUUGUGGAUUUGUACUGAACAUGUACUGGGCUUUUAUUGGUGGUGGGUUCAUUAUUCCCUGAACAAUACAACUGUUUAAAAAAAUUAUUGACAGACCCUUACAUCAUAUGAGGUAUUGCAGGUGAUCUAGACAGGAUUUAAAGUACUCAGGAGGAUGAGAGUAGUUACAUAUAAACACUACACCAUUGUAUAUAAGGAAUUUGAGCAUCUGCAGAUUUUGGUAUCCACAUGGGGGUCCUGAAACUGAUCCCCUCCAGAUACCGAGGGACACCUGGACAGGCAAGAAUCCUGAGACUGUUAGAUGUCUGUCUGUCUGUGGUAGUGAUGUACGCAUCCAGAGUAACGUGUCUGUGUGACUCUGAGCUAAUGCCAGUGGUUCUUGUUUCUACAUGUUGUAAUGCUGAGAAAUGUUAGCUUCUUUGUAAUUAUCUGGCUUUGGGUGAAAAAUUCAACAAUAUACUUCAUUUUUAGAAAAGAAAUCCAUAUUAGAAAAAGGAAAACAUAAAGUACUUGAGAAAUAAAAAUUCCUGGCUUAUCUAAUUUACUCUGAAGCCAAUUUUUUUUCUGUUUAAUUUUAUAUUCUUGAAAUCUACUAAAAAAUGUUGUGCAGAGUAAAAUUGAGGCAUAUUUAAUCAUUAUAAAAGAUUUUCUUUAUUUUUUUAUUUGCCAGAUAAAAACAUAUCUACUUGAAUCCUUCUAUUUUGUGAAUAAUAUAUUGGCACCAUUUUUGGAUUGUUUAAAUUUUUCAAUUAUCAAG